rnacentral:rRNA from 1 species
UAGAACUAAGAUUUAGCAAUCUGGUCCCUUCGGUGCCCGAGUUGUAAUUUGAAGAAGGUAUACUUUAGUUUGGCCCCCGUCUAUGUUCCUUGGAACAGGACGUCAUAGAGGGUGAGAAUCCCGUGCGAUGGGGUGUCCAUUCUUUGUAAGUUUCCUUCGACGAGUCGAGUUGUUUGGGAAUGCAGCUCUAAGUGGGUGGUAAAUUCCAUCUAAAGCUAAAUAUUGGCGAGAGACCGAUAGCGAACAAGUACAGUGAUGGAAAGAUGAAAAGAACUUUGAAAAGAGAGUGAAAAAGUACGUGAAAUUGUUGAAAGGGAAGGGUAUUUGAUCAGACUUGGUAUUAGAAUAUGGCAGCUCUCGGGUUGUCCUCUAUUCUUUUACUGGGCCAGCAUCGGUUCGGAUGGCAAGAUAAUUACGUUUGAAUGUGGCUCCUCGGAGUGUUAUAGCUUUCGUAGAUAUUGCCUGUCUGGACCGAGGACUGCGUCUUUUGACUAGGAUGCUGGCGUAAUGAUUAAAUACC